GGUGCUGUGGCAUAGUGGGUAAAGCCACUGCCUGCAGUGCUGGCAUCCCAUACAGGCACCGGUUCGAGUCCGGGCUGCUCCA
rnacentral:tRNA from 1 species